rnacentral:rRNA from 1 species
CUAGUUGAGAGGGCUUACCAUGCAAGUCGAGCGGAUGACGGGAGCUUGCUCCUUGAUUCAGCGGCGGACGGUUGAGUAAUGCCUAGGAAUCUGCCUGGUAGUGGGGGACAACGUUUCGAAAGGAACGCUAAUACCGCAUACGUCCUACGGGAGAAAGCAGGGGACCUUCGGGCCUUGCGCUAUCAGAUGAGCCUAGGUCGGAUUAGCUAGUUGGUGAGGUAAUGGCUCACCAAGGCGACGAUCCGUAACUGGUCUGAGAGGAUGAUCAGUCACACUGGAACUGAGACACGGUCCAGACUCCUACGGGAGGCAGCAGUGGGGAAUAUUGGACAAUGGGCGAAAGCCUGAUCCAGCCAUGCCGCGUGUGUGAAGAAGGUCUUCGGAUUGUAAAGCACUUUAAGUUGGGAGGAAGGGCAGUAAGCUAAUACCUUGCUGUUUUGACGUUACCGACAGAAUAAGCACCGGCUAACUCUGUGCCAGCAGCCGCGGUAAUACAGAGGGUGCAAGCGUUAAUCGGAAUUACUGGGCGUAAAGCGCGCGUAGGUGGUUCGUUAAGUUGGAUGUGAAAGCCCCGGGCUCAACCUGGGAACUGCAUCCAAA